GGGGUAGUGGCGGAAUGGUAGACGCGCUGGUCUUAGGAACCAGUACCUUCGGGUGUGUGAGUUCGAGUCUCACCUACCCUA
rnacentral:tRNA from 1 species